UCCCAAUAAUAAUGUUAAGGUAGAUUUAAGGUAGGAAUGUCAAACUCAACUGGGGCCAGAUCUGAAUUGUAGGGACUCCUCCUGGGCUGGAUACACAGACCCAACAGCAGGUUGUGCUGUGUUUAUAGAUGCCAAGUCCAUUGCAAGCCCCAUGCCUGAGUAUGUUCGCAUCAAAAGAUAUUGGACUCUGGGGACAAGAACAUAUUCAGUCUCCUCCUUCCAGCAGUUAUGCGAGUGCCAAUAUCUACAGCAGUCAGCAGAGCCAAUGCAGAUUUGGAUGAAAACAGCAGAGAUGGUAGAUCCUUCUAAGGGCA